rnacentral:rRNA from 1 species
UGGGGAAUAUUGGACAAUGGGCGAAAGCCUGAUCCAGCCAUGCCGCGUGAGUGAUGAAGGCCCUAGGGUUGUAAAGCUCUUUUGUGCGGGACGAUAAUGACGGUACCGCAAGAAUAAGCCCCGGCUAACUUCGUGCCAGCAGCCGCGGUAAUACGACGGGGGCUAGCGUUGCUCGGAAUCACUGGGCGUAAAGGGUGCGUAGGCGGGUUUCUAAGUCAGAGGUGAAAGCCUGGAGCUCAACUCCAGAACUGCCUUUGAUACUGGAAGUCUUGAGGUCGGGAGAGGUCAGUGGAACUGCGAGUGUCGAGGUGAAAUUCGUAGAUAUUCGCAAGAACACCAGUGGCGAAGGCGGCGCACUGGCCCGAUACUGACGCUGAGGCACGAAAGCGUGGGGAGCAAACA